rnacentral:lncRNA from 1 species
CAGAGAAAGGGAGAAACAGAUUAAGGGAGAGAAAGUGAAUACAGCGAGGAAGAAAAUUUUACAUAUAUACAUACACUCAUAUACAUUAAUUUAUGCAUACUAGUUGGCUAUAUAUAUAUUUGUGCAUUCUUUUCUAUACGUAGAAGAUUGGAAGAUGAAGCUGAGAAAACAUCUCAGCAUGCACAAUUAAAAAAAAAAUGAAUGAAAAUAGAAGAAACUUAAGAUUAUGAGAGCAACCCAUGAAGUCCAACAUCUGAAAAAUGAGAGUUACAGAAGAAAAAAUGGACAAAAGAGACAUGGAGAUCAAAUUAUCAAAGCAAUUAUACAUUUUCCCAUAAUUGAAUGACAUGACUUUGCAGGUUAAAAGGCUCACCAACUGUCUGUUAUGAUAAUUAAAAUAUGACUCCACAACCAGUAAUGGAUUAAAUAUAUCCCUAAAUCUUCUAGUGAGAUAAAAGAGGUCAAAUACAAAGGAAAUAGGCUUUGAACUCCUUUACAGCAAGUUUGGAAAUAAGAAAACAAGGAAUGAAUGUUUGCAAAAUUUUAACAACUAAUCGUCUCCAACUUUGAAUUCUAUACACAGCCAUUGGACCAAACAAGGGGACAAAAUGGCAGCAGCCAGCCUGACCAUUCCCUUCCCAUCAUGAGGGAGAGGGCUGUGGUAUGGACAGCAGCAGCUGACUGGCCACAGGUGCAGCCACUGCCAUCCAGCCCCGACUCAUUCCUAGAAUAAGAACCACCAGACUGCCCUCUGACACCUGCCUCAGCGGUCCCCACCACUCCUCAAACCCUGUCACCGUCCACAGACAAGCCCUGGAGGGGUGGGGAAAAGUCUGCAAUUCUCCUUAAAAAGGAUUUCUGUCACAUGGCAAAAUGUUUUGUCAGAUAUCAGUUCUGGCCGUUGGUGACAGAGUCAUGGAAUAUAAAAAGACAUCGAGAAGAAAUAUGUGUGAUCUGGAAUCGUGACCUUACAAGUGCAUCUGCAACGUUGGCUGUGUUUGAGCAAGUGAAUCUAUAUGACUAGAAUUUUUUAAUUGAUACAUGACAUUUGUACAUAUUUAUGGGGUACCUGUGAUAUUUUGUUACAUGCAUAGAAUGUUGAAUAACCAAGUCAUGGUAUUCUGGGUAUGCAUCGCCUAGAGUAUUUACCGUUUCUAUGUGUUGGGGACAUUUCAAGUCCUCUCUCCUAGCUAUUUUGAAAUAUACAAUGCAUUGUUGUUAACUAUAGUCACACUAUUCUGCUGUCAAACAUCAGAACAUUUCUUCUAUCUAACUGUAUGUUUGUACCUAUUAACCAACCUUUCUCUUCAUCUUCCCUCAACCCACAUACCCUUGUUAGCCUCAGCUAUCUACUAUUCUAAUACCUACUUCCGUGAGAUCAACUGUUUUAGUUCCCACAAACAAGUGAGAACAUGCAGUAUUUCUCUUUCUAUGCCUGGCUUAUUUCACUUAAUAUAAUGACCUCUAG